UUGAUUAGAGUGGUUAGGGAAGUCAUUGGAAUGAACAUGUCUGUCUUCCAAUCCCUGUUAGCUUUCUUGGCCGUGCCUGCUUCAAAGUCAAAGGCAACCAAAUGGUUAUUGGUAGCAAAAUUAAUGCACAAGGGAGUGAUAACAUGUGAAGAGAACACAAAAAGUUCCAACGAGUUGAUGUGUGUGGAAGCAUCUUUAAGCAGCCUUGUAAAUGAAGGUACUAAUGUUGCAACGAUGCAGACUGCACAUGAAAGGUUGGAGGCUUUGGAGAAUGGAAUUGAAAUCAUAGAAAAUGGUUUGGAGAGCGUAUUCAGGCGCAUGGUUAGAACAAGAGCCUGUCUUUUGAACAUCAUGACUCAAUAGAGUUUAGACAGUGAUUUUCUCUCCAAAUCCUCCAAAGUAUCCAAGUUUUAGGGAUCAGUUGAGGGUUGAAAAGUUUUGCCCCAUCAAUUUGUACAUGUAUACAAUUCAAAAGUCUUAACGAUGAAAUACAACUGAAUGUUUAUACUCUAUGUUUCGAUAUAUUUUUUCUUCAGGUCACCUUUUUCCUUGAGAGAAUAUUGCUUUACACUUAUCAUAUUUCUGUGACUAAGCAUAUAAUUUACUUGUUAGAGAAUGUUGGGUAAGUCAACGUCCUUAUCAGUUAAAAGUUCAUACUUAUAGUUAUCUUUUAAAAGCUACAAAACAGCCAAACUCAC
rnacentral:lncRNA from 1 species